rnacentral:lncRNA from 10 species
UUGCAAAGUUAUUGUGGCCCUCCCUCACCCUGAAAAGAGGUGACAGCAUAAAAGCAGUGCCAGGAGUGGGAAAAUCUCUGCCCAUGCAAUGAGCACGUCACUUGCUGUGUCCUAGGUGAAAAGAUAACAGGGAUAAUGGAAAAUAAGAGUUUCUCAACUUCUCAAACUAACCUCACUGUCCAUCAAAUUUUAGAGUUGAGAUUUUGUUUUUCAGUUAAAAAUUAAGAAAAAUUGUGGCAGGCUGUAAUUAUUUCCUAAGCUGUGUAGUCUGCUGUGAGCUAUCAGAGUGCUGUAGAAAGACCAUGAAACCUGCAGAGGUUGGAGUUCGGCUUCAAGCCCUCCUGUGCUUAGGAGGUGAUUCAUCCCACCAGUGCUUCUUCUGCAGACAGUAAAAUAUGGUCCCAGUGACCAUCUCAGGUGCCAUGCUUCCAGCAUUUUAUCAGACAAGGCUGAAGACAGCAGACAUUAAACUUCAGUUGUGUGCUCCACAGAACAUUAGCUGUCUUCAUCAUUACUUUGCAUCUUUCAGUGAUAGGCUGCUUGACAUGUUAGGAACCUGAAAAUGAUCCCAUCUUGACUGAAUCUCAAAUGCCCUUCCUGAGCAGCACUGAUGAAACAGAUGGAGCACCUGGAUGUUAUCUGCUUUGGAUCUGGUUCUCAGGAGGAGGAGGAGCAGAAGGCUGGGCACAACGGUGUUUGAGGUUCUCAACUGCCCCCAGAAAGAAGGGUUGACUUGAUUUACAUUGACUUCAACUUGAUUAUCUUGAUCUACUUAACUGCAUUUUCGGCUUUUAUGCUCAAGCCACCGGUCAGCAUGCUUCCUAUGGUCAACUGCAGUCUUUGACUACAUGCAGGAUAUCUCAAAUGCAGCUUGGAACAUAACUUAACCAUUCCUCAGGUUUACUGCCAAACGAUAAUGCUUUGCCAGUUCUGCAAAGCUGUUUAUAAUUUAGUAUACUUUCUUGGGUGUGCACGUCUACUUAUCAGCUUGCAAUAGUUUCAAGGGCUUCUGAAGACAUCUGCGGAAUGAGAUGACAGAGGGCCUUAGAAGCUCCGACAUAGAUUAUAACAUCAGCUGGCAGUGCCUUGUGUCUCCUUGAGUAAGGCUUAUGAAGCCAUGAAUUUAAUUUAUUAAAUAAAAUGGAAUCUCCUGAUUUAUUUCACUGGUGAAGAAUGUCUUAGACAAGGUACUGUCACAUGGCCAUCCAUUAAUAAUACAGUUAAGAUUUUGGUCACUUAAUCAGUUUACAAGCUUUGCAGUAGCCAUCUGAGAGUGGGCAUUCUUAAGGUGUCAAAGGAAGGUCAAAGAAUAGAAUACUGAGAAUCUUGGACUUGCCAUCAAUUUGAUGUGAACGAGAGUGUGUAUUCUUGACCACAGUAGGUCCUAAAAGAAUAAUUCUGGUGACAUGGGCUAAAUGAUUUAAAGUUAAGUGGCUAUUGUUGGAUAGGGUUUUCAUAUCUAUUAUAAACUAAUUGCCAUCUUUGGUUCCAGGCUAAUUAAGUGUUUUCUAAUAUUUAUAAAACAGUCCUGCCAUAGUUCAUAUGAAUCAGUCAUGGUUACUUUUGGUGGCACAGUAAUUAGAAAUGAUUAAGUCAGCUGGUUGUCAGCUUUGACAGUACCUUUGGCAGAAAUAUUUUAGAAAAGCAACUCUAAACUUAAAAUCUAAUGGCAUUACUACUCAAACUCUUUCUCACGGGCUCAAAAACACCAUUGAAACUAAGCGCACAUUUGUUAGAACUACAGGAUAUGCCAUAAACUAACCGUAGCCCAUAAUAGAUGUACAAACAGGCAAGCCACAGUGCCUGUUUUGCUUUUCUGAUAUCACAUUGCUUUCACCUACAUUAUCUCAUUUGUUCCUCAUGACAACUAUUUGAAGUAUCAUUAUCUCUAGGACACAGAUAAGGAAACUGAGGCUCCCAGAGGUUAAGUGACAUACUCAAGGUCACCCAGCUGGUAUAUGGUGGAACCAGAUGUCAGUCUGGGUGUUCUGUCUUCAAGGGUUGUUUUCUUUUCACUUUCACACCUGCCCUCUUAAGAGACCGGCACUGAUGUAGAUAUGAAUAGGAGCAUCACAUGAGACAGACAGUCAGAGUGGGGUACAAUGAGGUUAGCAACUUCUGCAUCACAGUUACUUGAUUAUCUCUCUGCUUUUUUUUAAAUCCCAAAUUUAAAAAUCCAAAUACUUUUUAGCAGGUAAAACAUUUUCCUUUUCAAUCAAAAUGUUCUACUAUGCUCUCUUUGAUUAGUCUAUUGAAAGCUAAACCUUUGUCCACUGAAGUUUUUUUAAUAGUGAAAUUUCAGAUGAGGAGAUUGGAUUGGUUGAUGGCUAGCAUGUCAAAGGACCUGGCCUAUCAAGAAGUUAUUAAAGCAAUUAGCCUUUAACGAAGCUGCUGCAGGAGAAGCUGUAGCAUCUUUUCCACUGGCACUCCUGCAGGUCUAUGCCAUUUCGUGCCUGGCAUGUUAUGUAUGAUCUACUUCAUGCUAUCCUCAAACUCACCCUACCUUUCCCUCUUCCAGCCUUAAAACUGGUAGGGGAAUUUUCUUUACAAAGUCCAAAUCUAAUCACCUGAAACAUUUUAACGGUCCCUCAUUACCUACAGAAUAAAGUCUGCUUUCACAAUUCCCACCUCUCUGCACUCUUUCACGUCAUACCUCAUUUUCUGGUAAUAGUGAAAAACUACAUGAAGUUAUCUGAACAUGGCAGGCUCUCUCACACAUCUGUAUCCCUACGACUACCCCCUUUUUCUUCCCAAUUUAAUUAUCAGGUCAACUCCUAACAAUAUGAAUGCUAAUUCUGUACUGGCUCUGUUCUGAGUACUUCAUAUAUGUAACAUGUGUAAUGCUCACAGCAACUCUAUGAGGUAAGCACUAUUAUUAUUCCCUAUCUGAUGAUUCGGGAACUACAGCAUAGAAUGGUUAGUUACUUUCCGAAGGUCACACAGGUAGUCAGUGGAAGAGCCAGGAUGUGAAUCCAGGCAGUCUACUUCCAGAAUCACCUCCUAAUCACAGAACUAGGCUUUAAGUUCAAGUGUUGCUUCCUCUGGGAAACUUCCCCUGAGUUGACUCCUGCCCACAGGUGCGUAAAGCUCUCUCUCUUUUAAGUCAGCACGCUCAUAGGAUGCCAUGCACUGUGCUGUCAUCGCAGAGUACAGACUCUCCUAGUAGCCUCCUUGACUCAGGCAGUAAGAAGUGUCCUACUCAUCCUCUGUCCUCAGCAGCUACCACAUGACAUGGUCAGUGCUAAAGAAAUGCCUUUGGUUGAAUGAAAUGGAAAAUACUAUGAAAAUGAGAACUAUACGUCAACACAGUAAUUUACUAAUGUUGUUUCUUCUACGAGCUCUCAAAUCAGAGCAUUUAACUUCAAUAUUUCCUUCUCUGUAAAGCAAAAUGAAGGAGAUGGAUAAUUAUAAAGAUUUUUAAUAAUUAUCCCAAAUGUAAAAACUCCCAAAAGUAAAAAGAAGCUAUGAACAUAUUUGCUAUAUCCUUUUAGAACUGUUCGGAGUAAAUAAAAAGAAUCCAUUAGCUAUCAGCUAUUUUUCUGACUCUUUAUAUUUUGACCUUAGAAUUCACAAUAACAAUAUUAUUUU